rnacentral:tRNA from 1 species
AGCGGGGUAGGGUAGCCAGGUUAACCCGCUGGGCUCAUAACCCAGAGAUCGAUGGUUCAAGUCCAUCCCCCGCUA